AUGGCCGGUUCAUACAAGGUCCUUCAGUCGUCAUUUCCUCGACUAAAUCAGGAGGUCUCAAAAAAUGGGAAGAUGGGGUGGCGAUUUUCUUUGCUUCACAGAUCGCGGCCGUCCACAUCUCCUGGGCUUCUACGCCCAAGGGCAGGAUUGUACCAGGCCGCUGGAGACCCAGAGGCUGAGGCGAUUGCGAGGCGCGACCUGAGACCCCAGGCGACGUCGAAGACGCACGCUCCGGCGAUCUUUCAGCCGACUCAACCACCGGGAUCUUCGGCCGUCCAGAGCAAUACAAGCGCGGCGUUGGCGAUGCUCCGAUCGGCCACUGGGGUCGCGCUCCGGCGGCAGGCGCCGGCCCGUCGGUUCUCCGGCAGCAGCGGAUGCAGCCGCACCACCAGGCUACUCCGAUUUAUAGAGGAAGAUGUCCUCCGAUGGAGAGGGCCUGAGCUGCUGUUUGGCUGCAUCGCCCUUACCAUGAUGGUCACAUACAAGUACAAUGUGACAGGGAAGGGAAUACUGGGAUACAGAUUCGACGAGGCGAGGAAGGAGCAGGAGGCCAGGGAGCGGCGGGAGGAGGCGAGGAAGAACAAAUAUUGA
rnacentral:rRNA from 1 species